rnacentral:misc_RNA from 1 species
AACUGAUACUACCUGCGGGAACCUGCGGAGGGAUCAUUACCGAGUCUUUGUACUCAAACAACCCUUCUAUGGACCUGAAGAAAACCGUUGCCUCGGCGGGCGGCCCCUACCUAUGGGCCGGACAGCGCGGCUGCUUUUUAAGACGCGCCGAUGCCGACGCCGGCCGCUGGCCCCAACAAAAACUCUAAUAACUAUUACCUUCUGAGUUUUAAAGCAAGAAAUAAAGUCAAAACUUUCAAC